UACGUAGGGUGCAGGCGUUAAUCGGAAUUACUGGGCGUAAAGCGCGCGUAGGUGGUUUGUUAAGUUGGAUGUGAAAGCCCCGGGCUCAACCUGGGAACUGCAUUCAAAACUGACAAGCUAGAGUAUGGUAGAGGGUGGUGGAAUUUCCUGUGUAGCGGUGAAAUGCGUAGAUAUAGGAAGGAACACCAGUGGCGAAGGCGACCACCUGGACUGAUACUGACACUGAGGUGCGAAAGCGUGGGAAGCAAACAGG
rnacentral:rRNA from 1 species